CCUACAGCCCUACGGUGCUUAAAGCUAAGAUACAAUCCUACAUGGUUCAAUUGUUCAUAAGUAAUAGUAGGUUCGACCGAAUUACUAUAGUCAAAUCUUAGUUUGCUUGCUAGAGAUCGAUUACCGACAAUUAGCUAACUCAGUUGCAAACCCUUGCAUAUAUUUUUUUCUUUAAUUUUGUGAGUUUUCUUACACACCGAGAACGUGUAAUAACAGGUGUGCAAUUCUCAAAGUCCCAAGAGAACAGGUUCAAAGGGCGAACAACAUAGCAAGAAGAUGUCGUUUUACCAUCUCUAAUUAUUAUUAUUAUUUUUUUUUUUGACAAAAGUGUUGGUUUGUUGUUGCCUUUGCUAUUGUGAAAACAAAGAAAAAAUACGUGUAUUAACGCAUAAAUAAUGCUUCAAUGAAUAAAAUUUUCUAAUAUAUCUAUUUAAAUUCUUCAUCAUUUAUAAAGAUAUUCUUAUUCUUCUUUUUUUUCUUUUUUUCUUUUUUAUUUUUUUUAAUUCAAAUUAAAGCUAGAUCAUUUCAAUAAUGCAUGCAUGAUUAUCCUCAUAUAUCGCCAGUUGUCUAUAAAUAGACAAUCCUUUUGUCCUCUGGCCUUACAUAUCCUCAAAUUUUAAUUAAUCUGUAACAUAUAUACUAUUUCAAUUAAGAAUUGAAGAAGAAUGGCGUCGUCUGUGCAACAGAAAAGGGACAAUGUGAUGGGUGAGAAAGAAAAGGCGAUGAUGGAAGAGGGGAUGAAAGACGCAAAGAACUACAUAAUGACAAACAACAUAAGCAAUAAUCAGAUUCAAGCAAUGGCAGUGGUCUCCAUCAGAAGCAGUUUCGGACAACGAAUGAGGUCGUACAGAAACCAUAGUUGGAUUGGGAAUUUUAUGGCGAGGCUUCCUGAUUACAUCAACGGAGGUGAUGGGGCUGUGUUUGUGCACAAGGGCUCUAAGGGGGCGCUCUUGUAUGGUCUCGAGCGUGAUGCAACUCCUCUUGCCCUUGGAUGGAUACUGUCUUGGUCCAAACCCGACACCCCUGGUGAGCCUAAUAGGGUAUGUAUACAUUUACUCCCAAUAAAAAACACUCAUUUUGCAAAUAAGGCCCUGUUUUAUUCACCUUAUUUCCAUUUAUUUCAGGAAAAAUAAGUUCGAAUAAGUUCAAAUAAGGGUUAAUUAAUAAGUUCAGAUUAGAUAAGUUCAGAAAAAAUAAGUUCAGAUAAAUUGUGAUAAUUCAUAUAAGUUUAGAUGCGUUAAGACAAGUUCAGAUAAGAUUAGAUAAGUUUAGAUAAAUAAAAAUCAGGUGAAUAGAAUGCACCUUAACUACCUUAUAAUUCAAAAAAGAAAAACACUUUUUAUGAACAUUAUUUGUUAAUGAGGCCCAGAACCAAUGUCCAUACAACACAAUUACCUCUAAUAACUAGUUAAUUACACUCACUUAGCCCCAACUACCACUAAGUACACCCAUAUAACCUCAAUUUCCCCUAUUUUAGGGUUUUAAUUAAGGGGUGGCUGUAGUCAAUUCUACCUUCAGUAUCAACAGCCCAGGGGGACCAUAGAUUUCCCUAUUGCAUAUCAAGAAGUAUACUUCAUAACAAAUUAUGUAUAAUACUCGUAUGUAAUAUAAUAUUCGGAAUAACACAAGCGACUUAGUGUGCUAAGUUGUGACCAAAAAAAAAAUGUACGUGUGUGGUAUGUCCCUCGCAUUGCUUUGCUUGGCUUGGCUUUGCUAUAACCUGGACAUUUAUCAUCUUAAUAAAAAUUAAUGAUAAAUCCUUAUAAUGAUUUCAAGAGUAUGCAAUGUUUUGAUCUUGUUGUUCCUAUAUAUGUCUUGUAUUUUUUUUUUUUAAAAACAGUAUAUGUCAUGUACUUGAGGCGUCGUUUGUGAUGAGACUGAUGAGUAAGGAUUAUUAAUGCAUACAUUUAUUAGUUUAUAACCUUAGAAAAUUUACCAAAUUUUACUAUUGAACGUUCACGAAAUUGGUGCAAGUUUUAAACGGGCAAAUUGAGUUCACGAAAUAGGUGCAAGUUUCAAAUGGGCAUAUUGAGCGUUUCAAGAAAAAUUAGAUGGUUCCACCCACCAAUUGGACUCCGGAGGGUAUUGGGGACCAAGGAAUUUUUGACGUUACGGGGCCUGUGGAGAAAAGUCUUGAAACCCUAAAGGAUACAUUUUAGGAUCAUAUAA